rnacentral:rRNA from 1 species
GAAGAAGAGCUUGCGUCUGAUUAGCUAGUUGGUGGGGUAAAGGCCUACCAAGGCGACGAUCAGUAGCUGGUCUGAGAGGAUGAGCAGCCACACUGGGACGAGACACGGCCCAGACUCCUACGGGAGGCAGCAGUGGGGAAUUUUCCGCAAUGGGCGAAAGCCUGACGGAGCAACGCCGCGUGAGGGAGGAAGGUCUUUGGAUUGUAAACCUCUUUUCUCAAGGAAGAAGUUCUGACGGUACUUGAGGAAUCAGCCUCGGCUAACUCCGUGCCAGCAGCCGCGGUAAUGGGGGAGGCAAGCGUUAUCCGGAAUUAUUGGGCGUAAAGCGUCCGCAGGGUCAGCCAAGUCUGCUGUCAAAUCAGGUUGCUUAACGACCUAAAGGCUGGAAACUGGCAGACUAGAGAGCAGUAGGGGUAGCAGGAAUUCCCAGUAACSGGUGAAAUGCGUAGAGAUUGGGAAGAACAUCGGUGGCGAAAGCGU